AGCAGCCGCGGUAAUUCCAGCUCCAAUAGCGUAUAUUAAAGUUGUUGCAGUUAAAAAGCUCGUAGUUGAAUUUCGGGAUCAAAGGAUCGGUCAUGCCUUGGUAUGUACUGGUUUUAUUGGUUCUCACCUUCUAAAGAACCAUAAUGUCAUUCAUUUGAUGUUAGUGGGGAAUUAGGACUGUUACCUUAGAAAAAAUUAGAGUUAGUUU
rnacentral:rRNA from 1 species